UAUAUCGUUAUGUUUUGACAGAAUGAAAUGAAGAAAAGCCGUCAAAUUCAUAUUUAUAAGUUGGAUAUUUAUUUUUUGUGUACGGAACUAAUAUAAAAUAACAUUAUCUGAUGAAUUCCAUCAAUGAAGCCUUUGAAAAAAGCGGGCCAUACCCAAGUCUUUGCCUGUGGGAAUGUGGUGUACAACAGGAGGUCAGAUGGCAUUCCAUGAUGGAAUUACAUCUCUUACCAAAUUCAGCUGGUCAAAAGUGCUCUUUACCAUCCACAGACAGUAUUUGGCAGACUAGGAACAAGAAAUUCCACUUAAUGUAAUAGCGGUUUGGUUGUGCAUGAACAGCAAAUGCAUCCGGUGCUGGUUUGUUAACAUGCAGGGGCUGCCACUAUCUUCCUUUAGGAUAACAAGGAUGUCAGUUUCCAGCAAAAUAAUCCAGGAAGAACCCCAGGUCUUACUGUUAAGGAACGCAAUGAGGUUGUGACCAUUAGGCUCAAAGCUGUGGAGAAAGAUGUCUAGCCAGGAGACAUACUAAUGUUAUGCUUUACUGAUGUUGUUGCCAACACCUACAAACCAUUCACUACAACUACCACAACGAACAAUGUACUGAUAAUGCAGAAAAUCUGAGCUACCUUUGUGAAAGAGGCCAAGAGAGGAUUGGAUGGUGGAGUUUCAGAUGACACAAUGCUGACUGUUUUCACCCAGCUGAUUUUGCUUCCUACUGGCAGCAGAAGGAAGUCUUCACUUUUAUUUUAAACAAUUAAGUUUUAAUGCCACCAAUUUGUCAAGAUAACAUGUAACUGAAAAGAUUGAAAUUACACCAACUUCCUUCAUUAACACAAACUAUCUGUGUACCUGGACCAUCAGCUUGAACAGUAUACUACUUCAACUACCAUUUCCUCAUAUUCAAACAUUACUAGAAAGGUCUGAAAGGCAAUCAUGCUAUCUUCAGUGAUAAAUGAAGAAUGAUAAACUCUUGUGUUAUAAAUUCUGCUGCAACUUGAGAUCACCAGUAUGUACAGACAUUGCCAAAUUUAUUGCAUUUAUUACUUGUGUCUAAUCAGUGCUUUAUGCAUAGAUAUUGUACUUGAAGUUAACUAUGAUUUUAUUAAGAUGCGAUUUUUCACUCUGUAUUGAUAUUCGCAUACUUCAAUUUCUGUUGCUAUACCAGUGUCACUAACAGAUAAUCUAGAUUAAUUUGUUUUUAUUUAUUUCUACCACUGUUGUCUAUGAUCAUUUUCAUAUCAUAUAGUUAGUACAUUUCAUUAUAUACAAGGCAGUCAAUGUCUAAUUUCCUAUAACAAUUCAGCAAUGAGCCUUUUGACAUUUCUGCUUUCAAUUGUCUUUAUAUUUUUCAUUAACAUUUCUUUCUAAGUUUGAAGCCUGAUCACUGUUAAAAAACAGGCUCUACUUUAUGGCUGCCUAGAAAUGUCUUACAAAUUGAUAAUUAUUUAAAAUACCAAUAACCUAAUGCCCUUAUGGAAACAUAGUCCAAACAUUCCUCAACGGCUAUGAAAUUAUUUUUGAACAAACCUUUUUGCUGUUUACAGCCUUUAAAAAAUUAAGAUUUUCCCCCAACCAAAUGCACUGCUUAACCUAUAAAUAAAUGAUUUUUGACAUAUUAUAAUCAUUUUCACUCAUUGCAUGUUUUUCUGUUACAAUGUUAUCGCGUUUUCAUGUGUAUCAUUUAGAUUCAUUGUUUUCACAUUAUAACUUCACUCAUGAUUCAUUGCUAAUCUCAUUUUAUGUAAAUGUCUUCUUGUUCAAUUGUAAAUAAUGACAAAUGCUGCUCAAAAUAGUGUGAUAAUGGAUAUACUCUUCCUGUCAUUCAUGUUAUUUGAUAAUUGUCAGCUGCAGCAUCUUCCAUGAAUUGCAUUACUUUUAUUUGCCUCAGAUAAAUAAAAGUAAUGCAAUUCAUGGAAGAUGACACCAGAUGAUACCAUUGCAAGAUGAAAAAAAAACUGUCCAAAACUUUAAAGGAAUUUAUAUCUUCGUGUACAUUUCAAUUGAGUUUUUGGACCGAGUAAAUCCCAGCUAUUUUAAAAAAUAUCUUCUGAGUGUGUCUUGUAAAAAUCACAGGACCCCCACAUGCUAUUCUUUAGUGUAUACACACAGCUGAGACAGGGAUAUAUUUUUUUUAUUUUUUUCAUUUAUAAAAUAUUGCAAUUUUGACCUCAUAAGUUCAGUCUUGUUUUAAGGAAAAAUUGAACUUGCUGAUUUUGGUACUUUUGGUUCAUCCCCAAUUGAUCUAAUAAACCCUGGUUUAAUAUUGAUAAUUAUGGAGAAAUAAAGACAAACUUAAGUCUUUAUAUGUAAUGUUAAUUGGGCUCAAUUUCAGACCUAUUCAGAUUAUGAAAUAAAAUACUGCAUUAUAACUUUUAUUAAAUCAUAGACCAAUUAUAAAAACGCACAAAAGAGAAUGUUCCUUUUCAUAUACCUUGUUCUUAUUUUUCUGAAAUUGAACUGCUGGUGUUUAGGCAUUGGUCUAUGACAGGUGUGGUUGACUGUUGAUAUGUAAAUUUAACCAGCUACGAUAACAACAUCAUAUGCAUACACCACUGUCAGCAUUUUAACUGCUUCAGCUAAUGAAGAACCUCCAAUAUCUAUACUCUUA